ACGAACGCUGGCGGCGUGCUUAACACAUGCAAGUCGAACGAGGUCCAACCAGUGGCAACACUGGGGAAGGCCUAGUGGCGAACGGGUGAGUAACACGUGAGGAACCUGCCCCGAAGACUGGGAUAACCCCCCGAAAGGGGAGCUAAUACCGGAUACCCUCCUACGGUCGCAUGGCCGUUUGAGGAAAGGUCCGCUGCUUCGGGAGGGCCUCGCGGCCUAUCAGCUUGUUGGUGGGGUAACGGCCCACCAAGGCGACGACGGGUAGCUGGUCUGAGAGGACGAUCAGCCACACUGGGACUGAGACACGGCCCAGACUCCUACGGGAGGCAGCAGUGGGGAAUCUUGCGCAAUGGGCGAAAGCCUGACGCAGCAACGCCGCGUGCGGGAUGACGGCCUUCGGGUUGUAAACCGCUUUCAGUGGGGACGAAAACAGACGGUACCCACAGAAGAAGCCCCGGCCAACUACGUGCCAGCCGCCGCCGUAACAC
rnacentral:rRNA from 1 species